rnacentral:misc_RNA from 1 species
CUAAAGGUGGCACUCUCCGCAAUGUUCCUUUAGGCGCUGGCCAUAAAAGCAAGCGUCUGAAAACGUCUAAAACCACGGCCAAAGCCUCCACAGCCGCCGCCACCACAAGCACCAACAGUAAAAGUACCAAUAAUGGCAGUAUCAUUAACAGGGCUAAUCCCCAAAUGGCAAUGAAAGCUCAGCAGCAAAAGAAGAAUCUUCCUCUUGCACUUGGUGAUCAGAAAAGCGGAUCUGGAAUUAUGUGCCAAGCAAUGAUUAGCCUACCAUCCUCAGCUUUGCAACAGAAUUCUGUGAGUUGCAGCAGCUUUUCUGGCGAAAAUUUCAACACCAUCAACAAUAGUGUCUUUUUGGAUUCAACUUUGUCUCUUCCCCAAAAUCAAGGGCUACACUUCCCUUAUUCAAGCACGUCAAGCACGUUUGACACACAUCCAUCUUUAAUUUCCACCUCCUUGCAGUCCUCAAAUCUUUAUAACUACGGUGGAGAAGCUAUGGAAGAUUCAACCAUCACCACCGUCAUGCCUACCACAAGCAGCACCAUCACUCAACAUUGGCAAGUGCCAAAUGCAAGCCGGGGCAUGGACAUGACAAGUUAUUGGAAUUGGGAUGAUAUAGAUAGUUUCGUCUCUACUACUCUCAAUAUUCCCUGGGAUGAUUCUGAGCUCAAUCCAUAGUUAGGGGGCUUCAAUUGACCAUUAGAAGUGUGUAUAAAACCUUUUCUUUUCUUUCUUUCCAAUUAAUUUUUAUUUAACUAUAUGUUGUUGGGAGUUUGUGAUUGAUAGAGGUCAGUCUCAUAUAUAAUGCCAGAGUCAAAAUUCAUGCGUUUUCUGGUUUUCCGGUCAUUUAUAAUGUAU